CUUUCACUUUGACCAGCCCUGCAGCGAGACACUGUCCUGAAGUGAACAAGUGAACCCGGAGAUUCCACACGUGUCAUGCACGAGGUGAAGAAGAGGAGAAGGGGACGAAGGUGACGUUCUCUCGUCUUCAUCUCUGAGGAGGAGGUUGGAAGAAACAGCCGAAACAUUAAAGUGACGCAGAUUUUCCAGAGGUAA